rnacentral:rRNA from 1 species
GUUGGUUGUCCCGGUUCAAGCGUGUAGGUGGAGAACUUUGGCAAAUCCGGGUUCUUAAUAACACUGAGGCGUGACGACGAUGUCUAACGACAGCAAAGUGGCUGGUUCCAUGCUUCCAGGAAAAUCCUCGUACCUAGUUAUGAAUGUGACCGUACCGUAAACCGACACAGGUAGGCAGGUAGAGAAUACCAAGGCGCUUGAGAGAACUCGGGUGAAGGAACUAGGCAAAAUGGUGCCGUAACUUCGGGAGAAGGCACGCUGAUAUGUAGGUGA